AUUGAACGCUGGCGGCAUGCCUUACACAUGCAAGUCGAACGGUAACAGGUCUUCGGAUGCUGACGAGUGGCGAACGGGGGAGUAAUACAUCGGAACGUGCCCGAUCGUGGGGGAUAACGGAGCGAAAGCUUUGCUAAUACCGCAUACGAUCUACGGAUGAAAGCAGGGGACCGCAAGGCCUUGCGCGGACGGAGCGGCCGAUGGCAGAUUAGGUAGUUGGUGGGAUAAAAGCUUACCAAGCCGACGAUCUGUAGCUGGUCUGAGAGGACGACCAGCCACACUGGGACUGAGACACGGCCCAGACUCCUACGGGAGGCAGCAGUGGGGAAUUUUGGACAAUGGGCGAAAGCCUGAUCCAGCCAUGCCGCGUGCAGGAUGAAGGCCUUCGGGUUGUAAACUGCUUUUGUACGGAACGAAAAGACUCUUUCUAAUAAAGAGGGUCCAUGACGGUACCGUAAGAAUAAGCACCGGCUAACUACGUG
rnacentral:rRNA from 1 species